CUCCUACGGGAGGCAGCAGUGGGGAAUAUUGCACAAUGGGGGAAACCCUGAUGCAGCCAUGCCGCGUGUGUGAAGAAGGCCUUCGGGUUGUAAAGCUCUUUCAGCGAGGAGGAAAGGUCAGGAGCUAAUAUCUGGUGGGUGUGACGUUACUCGCAGAAGAAGCACCGGCUAACUCCGUGCCAGCAGCCGCGGUAAUUG
rnacentral:rRNA from 1 species